UACGUAGGGUGCAAGCGUUGUCCGGAAUUAUUGGGCGUAAAGAGCUCGUAGGCGGUCUGUCGCGUCUGCUGUGAAAACUCGGGGCUUAACCCCGGGCCUGCAGUGGGUACGGGCAGACUAGAGUCCGGAAGAGGAGAGUGGAAUUCCUGGUGUAGCGGUGAAAUGCGCAGAUAUCAGGAAGAACACCCGUGGCGAAAGCGGCUCUCUGGAACGGUACUGACGCUGAGACGCGAAAGCGUGGGGAGCGAACAGG
rnacentral:rRNA from 1 species